rnacentral:rRNA from 2 species
UUGACCUCGGAUCAGGUAGGAAGACCCGCUGAACUUAAGCAUAUCAAUAAGCGGAGGAAAAGAAACCAACAGGGAUUGCCCUAGUAACGGCGAGUGAAGCGGCAACAGCUCAAAUUUGAAAUCUGGCUUCGGCCCGAGUUGUAAUUUGCAGAGGAAGCUUUAGGCGCGGCACCUUCUGAGUCCCCUGGAACGGGGCGCCAUAGAGGGUGAGAGCCCCGUAUAGUUGGAUGCCUAGCCUGUGUAAAGCUCCUUCGACGAGUCGAGUAGUUUGGGAAUGCUGCUCAAAAUGGGAGGUAAAUUUCUUCUAAAGCUAAAUACCGGCCAGAGACCGAUAGCGCACAAGUAGAGUGAUCGAAAGAUGAAAAGCACUUUGAAAAGAGGGUUAAACAGCACGUGAAAUUGUUGAAAGGGAAGCGCUUGUGACCAGACUUGCGCCAGGCUGAUCAUCCGGUGUUCUCACCGGUGCACUCGGCCCGGCACAGGCCAGCAUCGGUUCUCGCGGGGGGAUAAAGGUCUCGGGAACGUAGCUCCUCCGGGAGUGUUAUAGCCCGGGGCGUAAUGCCCUCGCGGGGACCGAGGUCGCGCAUCUGCAAGGAUGCUGGCGUAAUGGUCAUCAGCGAC